UAUCUACUCUCUUCGAUCCAUAUCAAUUGUCGAAAUAUUACGUGUAUCUAUACAUAUUUUAGGCAUAGAUACAUUCAUAUUUGGACAAAUUUGAGACAAUUGAUAUGGAUCGGAGGGAGUAGCAA
rfam:Brachypodium distachyon strain Bd21 chromosome 1, whole genome shotgun sequence.